rnacentral:rRNA from 1 species
GUAUCCCGGAAGUGAUUCUAGCCAUGCUUUCAAGAAAAGUUGCGAUAUUUUAAGGUAUUACUCGUACCGUAAACCGACUCAGGAGAGUGGGAUGAAUAAUCUAAGGCGAUGAGGUGAAUCUUGGUUAAGGAACUCGGCAACUUAACACCGUAACUUCGGGAAAAGGUGUGCCUAAGAAUGUGUAAGAACUUGCUUCUGAAGCGUUUUUGGGUCGCAGAGAGUUGGGAGUAGCGACUGUUUAUCAAAAACACAGGCAUGUGCAAAGUCUCAAGACGAAGUAUACAUGCUGACGCCUGCCCGGUGCUGGAAGGUUAAGAGGAUUUGUCAGCGCAAGCGAAGCAGAGAAUCGAAGCCCCGGUAAACGGCGGCCGUAACGAUAACGGUCCUAAGGUAGCGAAAUUCCUUGUCGGGUAAGUUCCGACCUGCACGAAUGGCGUAACGACUUCUCCGGUGUCUCAACCAAGGGCCUCGCGAAAUUGAAUUCUCGGUGAAAAUGCCGGGUACCCGCAGAAAGACGGAAAGACCCCGUGAACCUUUACUGUAGCUUGGCAGUGAUUUUAGAGUUUGGAUGUGUAGGAUAGGUGGGAGCCUUUGAAGCCAGGUCGCUAGAUCUGGUGGAGGCAACCUUGAAAUACCACCCUUGCAAACUUUGAAAUCUAACCUGCUCCUCUUAACGAGGAGAGGGACACUGUCUGGUGGGCAGUUUGACUGGGGCGGUCGCCUCCUAAAAAGUAACGGAGGCGCGCGAUGGUCCCCUCAGCCUGAUUGGAAACCAGGCGUCGAGUGCAUUGGCAUAAGGGGGCUUGACUGCGAGACCUACAAGUCGAGCAGGUGCGAAAGCAGGCCAAAGUGAUCCGGUGGUCCCGCGUGGAAGGGCCAUCGCUCAACGGAUAAAAGGUACUCCGGGGAUAACAGGCUUAUUCCAUCCAAGAGUCCAUAUCGACGAUGGAGUUUGGCACCUCGAUGUCGGCUCAUCACAUCCUGGGGCUGGAGCAGGUCCCAAGGGUUUAGCUGUUCGCUAAUUAAAGUGGUACGCGAGCUGGGUUCAGAACGUCGUGAGACAGUUUGGUCCUUAUCUUCUGUGGGCGUAAGAAAUUUGAGCAGACCUGUCCUUAGUACGAGAGGACCGGGAUGGACGAACCUCUGGUGUUCCAGUUGUCACGCCAGUGGCAAUGCUGGGUAGCUAUGUUCGGAAUAGAUAACCGCUGAAAGCAUCUAAGCGGGAAGCUAACUGCAAGAUUAGAUUUCUCUGGGGCUUCGGCCCCCUAAAGACUCCUCGGAGACUACGAGGUUGAUAGGCAUAAAGUGUUCAA